rnacentral:lncRNA from 1 species
AUUACAUCACUUUUACAUAUAUCUCUUUAAUUACAUCAUGUCCACACUACACUAUUACACAAGCAGUACCAUAGCUGAUACACUCUGCUGCUUCUCACCUUCCCAGCUAACCAGAACCUGCAACACUGGGAUUAAGGGAAAGGGAUGAGCUAUAAAGCCCAGUGAGUAGAAACACUGAAAAUAGUUCGUUCAUACACAUCUUUUAUGACAAUGCAACACAACUCAUACAUUCCACAUUAUUGAUUGGACAUGACAGCAAAACUCCCUCGACGGGCUAUUGUUGUCGCCUGGGUCCAAUCAUCUGGAAUUAGACAUGACCUCAAAACUCCCUCUAAGGGCUAUUGAUGUCGCCUUGGUCCAAUUCCCACUAUCACUGAAUAAGGCAAUGCAACAACUUCGUGAUUCUAAUGCAACGCACCCUAAUAUAAAUCAUACCAGUCAUGAUGCAUGAACUAUGCUUCAUACAGUCCAUUUUCUCAAAAUAAAGAUUAAGUUUAGGUCUACUCACCUCUGCUCCUCAAGCAGAAACCUGACUGACGCUGCAACUGCUAAUCCUGACGACCUCCCUGCACUGUCGGGUCCAAUCC